rfam:Stegodyphus mimosarum contig23244, whole genome shotgun sequence.
AAAAAGGCCCUUUUAAGGGCCAAAAAUUAUACGAAGAGAAUGCUU